AUGCGAACACAAGGAUUUAACUUCAGUGAUGAAUUGUACCACAUGGGGAAUACAUGCAUAGGAGUGCAGAGAGAGCAUGCCCUAGAUUUGAUAGACACAAACAUCAAGUUGCAGCAAAUUAAGAAGCAGAAUGAGGACAGUUUAGUUUUGAACUUGUUAGUCAGGGCCACAUCAUUUGUCAGUACUGCAUAUCAUGUUAGUGAGCAAAAAUUAGCCACAGUUUUAUAUGAAGAACAUGUUGUGUAUGAUCUGAGAGAUCCUCCUGUGCUUGCUGUUAAUGAUCAUGGUGUUGUUUAUGAGAGUCAAAGCAGCAACAGUAGUGCAGUAGUACAACCUGCUGGUAUGUGCACACAAGAGAGAAGAAAUGUCAGCAAGAGGAAGCUCAAAUCUGUGAUGGAAGAAGAGGAAGAGGAGGGAUAUAAGAGUACUGAUGACUCUCAAGGGGCAUAUGACAGUGACAACAACCCUUUCUGCAUGAAGAAGUACAGGAUUGUUGAAGACACAGAGAUAAUAGAGGGAAAGAGGCUAGCAGAUGCAGAACUAGAAGAGGAUGCAGAUUCAGAUGAAGAAACAGAUGAAGAUUCAGAUAAGGAACAGCUACACUAUGAGGGUGACACUGAGGUUGAGGAGUUGUUUGAUAUUGAGGAGGAUGAGGAGGAAGAUUCUGAGAAGGAGAAGGAACCACCCAUGAAAGCAGCUGUUAAAAAGUGGAAAAAGCUGCCAGUUAGGAGAGGGCCCACCACUAGGACACAUUCUAAUGUGUUAGAGGACUUGAAACCAGAUUUCAGACCAUCAUCAGAUGAAGAAGAUACUGGGUUGCUAUUGGAUGGUGAAGAUGAUGAAUUUGAGCCACUAGCAUUUGUCCUACCAAAAGGAAGGAAGAGUAGGGCCAUGAAAAGGCCAGCAAGGAUAUGGUAUAAUGAAAAACUGGAGCAACCACAUCAACAGUUAUGUAUGCACAUGUGUUUCAAAAAUCAGCAACAAUUCAGAGAUGCUCUGUUGAGCUUGCACAUUACACAGGCAAGAAAUUUUAGGUAUCAUAGAAACUCAGACAAAAGGAUAAUUGUUUGCUGCAAACAAGAGCAUUGUUAG
rnacentral:rRNA from 1 species